rnacentral:rRNA from 1 species
UACGUAGGUGGCAAGCGUUGUCCGGAAUUAUUGGGCGUAAAGCGCGCGCAGGCGGCCUCUUAAGUCUGAUGUGAAAGCCCCCGGCUCAACCGGGGAGGGCCAUUGGAAACUGGGAGGCUUGAGUAUAGGAGAGAAGAGUGGAAUUCCACGUGUAGCGGUGAAAUGCGUAGAGAUGUGGAGGAACACCAGUGGCGAAGGCGACUCUUGGCCUAUAACUGACGCUGAGGCGCGAAAGCGUGGGGAGCAAACGGG